rnacentral:tRNA from 1 species
GUUGCUAUAAUUUAAAAAAAAUACAGGUUUGUGGCACCUGAAAUGUAAAUUUUACUAGCAACC